rnacentral:misc_RNA from 1 species
CCGAGUGAGGGCCUCCGGCCCGACCUCCCACCCUUUGAUUUAACCACUCUUGUUGCCUCGGGGGCGACCCGGUCGCGUCGGAUUGCCGACGUCGGCGUCGGGGCCCCCGACGGACCCCCUCACAACGCUGCAUCUUUGCGUCGGGUUGAUCAGAAAAUCAAUCA